CCUCAGGGUCCAAUUGCAGUAAGGAUGGCAAAACUGGCGAUCAACCAGGGGAUAGAGGUGGAUUUAUUAACAGGCCUCGCCAUUGAAGAAGCAUGCUACGCCCAGGUGAUCCCCACUAAAGACCGUCUGGAGGGUCUGGCUGCCUUCAGAGAGAAGAGGCGUCCUCAAUUCAAGGGCGAGUGAAGCCUCUCUGCCUCCAGAACGAACACAAAGUGCUGCAUCCGGAUCUCCUCCUACUCCACUGCUUCCAACACAUUUAUGGGUGAACCUGUCAACACAUUAGCCUGUGCAGGACCCAGAGACUGCCUGCAGGGCAUCAGCGGCCCUCCAGGGGUCCUUCGGGGGCCCCUCCUGGUUCCUGAUCCAUGGCUCAGGUGUAACGCUGGGUGUGUCCAAUACAACCAGGCAAACUAACCAAUCAUUGGCCCCUGCUCACAAAACUUACCCAACUAAUCCAAAACAUGACUUCAUACGGUUAUUCCUCUGUGCACUGUGACGGACAGGUGGUCCCUAACCUCUCUGAAUAAUGAACCAAUUAAAGAGCCAUUUACAUUUCUAGGUUAUUGAUUUUUUUACUUAAAUAGAAAUGUAUAACUGUGUUCAAAACACUAUAUAACACCACAGGUGUCUGCAUGAAAUAUAACUAACUUCAACUCUGUCCAGAUGGAGCAAUAUAGGAUUUGCAAUGUUUGGAUUUCUUUAGUGCCUGUUGCUGUAGUAACAAAAAACCCAGUGUGACCCAUGAUGCAUUGGCUGAAAAUGAAAGGUGUUUAUAUAUAUAUCACUGACACAUGGGCCUAGUGUGUAGUACUAAUGAGUUGGUUAGAAAUAAUUCAGAUGAUUGGUUAAUAAUUCAAACUUAGCUAUCAGUCUGUGACAGAAACCCGAAAUGUUGGUUAUCCUAAAUAUGACACAUGAUACUACUUUGGAAAAUAAGUACGAUUUAAAAAGCUCCAGGUCCACCGACACACUGUGAGCUGUGUAAGCUGCUCUUUCAAUGGAUGAAUGGAUGCUUGUACUGAUAUAAUCUGCAUUACAUCUGGUUUAAAACCCUGGAGAAAGCUAGUUAGUGGACCUUGAGAUUUUUUCCCCAAGACAUAUUUUAUAUUCUUGUUAUUUUAAGAGUCAACUUAUUUUAUGAAAGUGUCGAUGAAUGAAUCAGCCUCUGUGUAGAUGAUAUAAUGUGAUGUAAAUAAAACUUGUCACACUGAAA